CGACGAGCGAGUGAGAGAGUGCCGACCUAGUGCGAGACCGUUACCGAGCGGCAGUGAUAUCAGUGAUAGCGCGAGGUGUAGUGAUAAUGCGGUAUCAUGUCGUUGUACUCCAGAAACUAUGGGUCAUGGUCUAGCAAGGGUUCCACAGCUACGGCUCCAGCUGCCACCUCCACGCUUGACCGGAGCAGUCGGUAUGGCUCGUCCAGCGUCGGGAGUAGCUCCAGCAGCGGGACUUCCAGCAGCAGUGGCAGCAAGCCCGCGGCCUCGGCUACCUCCAGCUACCGGGCCCUGCCUCUGACUUCGGUGCGGGAUCGGGCCGCUCAGAUGGAGACCGCGCCCGCCGAAAAGCCGUCCAUCCGGGAGAAGUACGCCUCCCGCACCUACGGCGUCGACUCCUCCAGUCUAAGAAAGAGUCCGGAGCCCAAGUCCGAGGCCAAGGGAGCGUCCUCGUACAAGCGGUACAGCUCGUCCUACAGCCCCACCACGGAGACACCCAGCUUGAGGUUCGGGAGUUCCAGUAGAUUCGGUGGGCAAAUCGCGAGAAGUCCUAUCACCGAAAAAUCCCCGACAGUUUUUGGAGUCUCAGGCUACUCGAGGACAUCCAGUAGGGAGGAAGAGAAGCCCGAACCGGCAGGAGUUACCGAGAUGAUAACGCUAAUCACAAGAGGAACCUCGCCUACACCUCCUUCAACCUCUUCCUUCCUCCGGGCCAGGCGGGCUGAGAUGGACAGAACACUUGAAAAGACAGUGCCUAAACUAAAACCGAGACAUUCUACGUACUCGACAGAGUGCCAAACCGAAGAAAAGUGUAUAGAAGACGCGAAGCUAGAGAGUAAGUUAUCAGUAGCGAGUGCUCUAACUGCGAGAACACCAUCCCCGGCGUCAUCCACGUACUCACGGUACUCUACAGCGUACACCCCUCGAACCUCUGCAUACCAUGGGUCCAGACCGACGGAGCUGUCUCUGAAAUCUUCUACUAGCUCCGUAUUGAAAACUUCCAGCCAAGACGAGGUCAAGCCUGAACCGAGUCCAACAAAAGAUGAAAAAAUAAAAAAGCUCGAAGGGAAGGACACGACUAGAAUAGGGGGCUUUAGUUAUGCAAGACCUACCGAUCUGCCAGUGGCCCUGAAUAAAGCGAUGGCUGACUCAGAUGGGAAAACGGACGGGUUGGUAUCCCCUUCAAAAAUAAGGAGCACCUCUCCUCAGACUCCAAGCUCACCACAAAGACUAAAGACUAGAGAAUUGAGUAAUUUAUCUAGUGAUCAACUAAGUAAACCUUAUAAAUCUAGUGUAAGUAGGGCAAAUAUUUUAGGUGAUUCGAAUGAUGAUACUCAUACGCAUUCCAUUAAAAACGAGACUUCUACAGGUAGUGUUAGUGUAGCUUCAUCGGCAAAGGUACCUCUUUCCUCCUCUAGGUCUUCAGCCAAACUGACUUCUCCGGACCGGUGUAAACUUCCCCCUCCUAGCCCAAAAUCGGAGAUAUCGAAAACAGUUCCCAAUAAAGACUUUAGAAAAUCAGAGCUAAAUAUGAACUUGUCUAGCUCUAACGAAUCGCUUGGAUCCCAGAAACCUAAAACUGUCAAAAUCGGAGAGAAAAACGGUUUAGAACCGUCUACUGGCAGGUCUCCAGUUAAACUUACAACAAGUAAAUCACUAGUAAAGUUGCCGUCCACUUCACCUUCGCAAAAAUUAUCUCCAUCACCUAACAAAGUAACAUCAACAUUGCUAUCUAAGACAAUUAAAAAAGAACAAUCAUCUGAGUCAAGCAGUGAGGAUUCCACCUCUUCAGAAACUUCUUCAUCGAGUGAUAGCGAGAGUAGUGAGAGCGAAAAUGAAGAACCAGUUCAAGCCAAGACGAAUGGCAUCACAACAACAAAUGCUGUUUCUAAGAUAAGUCGAACGUCAUCCAAAACAUCAGCUCAAAUGUCUUCAGCUGACGAAUCAGCCAUUCCUAUAGACAAACCUCCGAGACCACCAUCAGGUGUAAAGUUGAACAAGGCACCUGAAGACAAACGUGCCGAGGAAGCUAAAGCAGUGGUAGUACGAGCUCUCGCUCCUGUAACAGGAAUUAUGAAGGUCAAAUAUCCGGGUUCGAGUGCAGAGGAAUCCUCUGACAAGGAGACCAAACAGAGUAAUAAGGUUACGAGUCCUGGACUAGGUAAGAGUAGUUCAAAAUCUUCGUUGGGCUCUAAAAAGAAUUUCAAGAUAACGCAUAUAGAAUCUGGAGAGAGGGCUUGGUGGAUGGGUCCCACAAACGAUGGUUUGGACAAGAAAGCAGAAAAAUCUGGUUCUCAAACUAGUUUAGCCUCCAAAGUUGACAGCGAACAAACACAAAAAGAAACUGUUUCUGUUCCUCCUACUCCCCCAAAAGUUGAAGGGAAUAAAUCAACUUCUACUUCAGAAACUGAAACCAAACCCCCAAUUCCUCAGAGGCAAUACAAACUGAAGAAAGCAGAUUCCGGAAGCAGUAGUGAUGUACCUGGAUUAGAAAAAUCACCUAGUACUAAAUCCUUAAGAAAAGACAAAAGUAAAACGUCACUGUAUAAAAUAAGACGAAUAGACUCAGGAGAAAAACCUUGGUGGAUGCAGGAGAAUGAAGAGAACACUGUUGCCUCACAGGAACCACCAACAGAUUCAGUGAGCAAUAGCCACACUGAAAUAGCUCCUGAGGCUGACAAGAAGGCUCCUCAAUAUCCGAUAUCAAAAGUUGAAUCAGGAGAAAGAACUAGUUGGCUUGGGGAUGUAGAUGAUUCCAGCAAGGAAUCUCAAAAAACGUCAUCUCCUAAAUUAAUCUCAUCGUCUCCAAAUAAAAUGAGUCAACUCGCAAAAACACAGUCUGGAGACAGGUCGUCUUGGCUGGGUGACAGUGAUGAGUCCACGAAAGAAAAAGCAACAUCCAAAAAACCGUACGCCAUUUCAAAAAUUGAGUCCGGAGAAAGAGCCUGGUGGAUGAGUGAAAGCGACGAGCCCAAGAAAGAACCUCUUCCUCCACAGCAAUCUCCAACACAGCCACCCAAAAAGCCAUACGCUAUUUCAAAGAUAGAAUCCGGAGAGAGGGCCUGGUGGUUGGGUGACAGUGACGAGCCGAAGAAGGAGCCGAAGCCUCCAGUACCGGUCCAAAAGCCAGCGAAGAGGCCCAAAGACCUCCCCUUAUUUAUCGGAAGACACACGAAUAUCGAUGAUGUCCUUGGAACACAGGCGCCCCCGCCCGCAGCCUUCAGGACUCCACAAAAUUCAUCGGAUGAGUCGGACGGGGAAAGUGAGGAGAUGUUCGAGGUGCGAGCAGACGACGUCAAGAUUCACGACAGCACACCUAUGACGUCAUCAAUAUCCAGGCCCAACGGCAUGAUCAAACUGGAUGACACGGCGCUUCAGCUGUACAAGGAGGGCGAUUAUGGUUCCUAUCUCGAUUUGGAUGCUUCUAUCAACGAGCAGCAGGAGGAGUUCGAGAACUUCCAGGCGAAUCGGAAGAACUCUAUCGUACUGCGAACACAACUAUCAGUGCGUGUUCACACAAUCAUUGAAAAGCUGAUGUCAUCUGAAGGAAGAGAACUGAGAAGAGCAUUGUUUUCUCUGAAGCAAAUAUUUCAGGAAGACAAAGACUUGGUGCACGAGUUUGUUCAGAACGAUGGACUUGCAUGUCUCAUCAAGGUGGGCUCUGAUGCGGACCAGAACUACCAAAACUACAUCCUUAGAGCCCUUGGUCAGGUGAUGCUAUAUGUGGAUGGAAUGAACGGUGUGAUGGAGCACAGCCCAACAGUCCAGUGGCUCUACACACUAGUGGCCUCCAAGUUCCGGCUGGUGGUCAAGACAGCUCUGAAACUGCUCCUGGUGUUUGUGGAAUAUGUAGAGACCAACAGUGUGCUUCUGGUCAAGGCCAUUCAGUCAGUGGAUUCUACUCAAGGCAAUGCUCUGUGGAGCAAUGUCAUGCGGCUGAUGAAGGAGUACGAUGCGGCUGAUACAGAGCUGCUGAUCUAUGCCACAUCCCUCAUCAACAAGACCCUCAACGGCCUCCCUGACCAGGACACCUACUAUGACCAGGUGGACGCCUUGGAAGAGCAAGGGUUCGAGAACAUCAUCAGAAGGUACAUGUCAAAGCAAGGAACAGAUCUGGACCUGUUGAGACAGUUCCAGAUCUAUGAGGCGGUGUUGCAACAUGAGGAUGGAGAGCAGAAGGGAGCACCUCUCAAACAGUUGGAUGAGACCAUCAGGAAGACAUUACGUCACCGGAAGUGCCUGACUACGACUCUGAACCCUAUUGAGAGACGCAAGUCUCGCCGUCACUCCACAGGCACUUCCCCCCUCCAUCUUACCCUCAACUUGUCUCGAGCUGUCGAUCUCGACCCUGACUCUCAGACUGACGAAUAUCACAAUGUGCCAGACGAUCUGAGCGUGACUCCAGCACUGCGCAGACGCAGAGAGCGAGCCGACCGACAGAGGAGUUUCCUGCGAGAACAGCGUGAGGCAACACUGCGUGCCUCUCUGAGCAGCACCGACCAGUCAGGCAGCGAAGACGGUGGUGUACGCAAUGGGAUCUGCAAUGGUGAUUCGAACCAUGCUAGAAGAGAGAACACUGUGAAAGACCUGACACAGAAGUUGGCAUCUACUCUUGGUAGCCCAGUGCUCGACGCAGAAGGUAAACCUGUCUCAAGGGUAGGAGAUAUGAAAGGAAUCAUCUCAAAAGCAAAAGAAGGCUUGGCAAAGUCUCAGUCAAGAGCUGAUGUGUUGAAGAGCCCUACAACAGAGACGCCACCUCCACCACUGAAGCCACCUGAGGUUAAGAAGUCCGAGACAGAGCUACACUGGGAGGAGCUAGUCAGUAAUUGCUCUCGAGACCUUUCUCUCUGCGACCUGGACUUCACCGAUCUGCUAAGUGACGAUGAGCAGAGCGUGUUCGCCCCUACCAGUUGUGCUCCUGGAAUCCCUCCACCACCCCCACCCUGCGGCAUGCCCCCACCAAUUCCGGCCCCUGCUGCUCCGCCACCUCUUAACAACAUGGUACCUAGUCGACUCUCCUCCCCUGUACGCAAGAACAAGAAGACUGUCAAACUGUUUUGGAAGGAGGUGCGAGAUGACCCAGUGGUAUUUGCUCGGCUCAACACCAAUGCUCUGAUCUGGGACGAGAUCUCUCCCGUGUCUGUGGAUACUCAGAAGCUGGAACACUUGUUUGAGUCCAGAGCCAAAGAUCUCAUUACCAAGAAACAGCAAGAGAUGAACAAGAACAAGGAGGUGAUUGUACUGGACCCGAAACGCUCCAAUGCCAUCAACAUCGGCAUGACCAAGCUGCCACCACCUCGGUCCAUUAAGACUGCCAUCCUCAAGAUGGAUGCCACAAUCAUGAACCGAGAGGGAAUUGAGAAACUGCUGACAAUGCUACCGACUGAGGAGGAGUGUUCCAAGAUACAGGAGGCACAAGCAGCCAAUCCAGACUUGCCUCUGGGCAGUGCUGAGCAGUUCCUGCUGACUCUAGCUUCUAUCUCAGAGUUGCCAGCCCGUCUUAAACUCUGGGCCUUCAAACUGGAUUUUGAGAACAGUGAAAAAGAAAUUGCUGAACCACUGAUGGACCUAAAGCAAGGUGUUGAAACUUUAAAAUCAAAUAACACUUUUCGAGGUGUUCUCGGCACCCUCCUUUCCAUCGGAAUAUUUCUUAAUGGAAAUGAGGUGAAAGGGUUUCAAAUCGAGUAUCUGGCGAAGGUACCCGAGGUGAAAGACACUGUACAUAAACACUCCUUGCUGCACCAUCUUUGCCACAUGGUCAUGGAGAAAUUUCCAGAAUCGACAGAUCUCUACUCUGAGAUUGGAGCUGUUACCAGAGCAUCAAAAGUAGAUUUUGACGAAUUGAGUGGCAACAUUGUCAGGCUAGAGACUGAAUGUAAGGCUUCCUUCGACCACCUCAAAGUGAUCUCCAAACAUGAUGGUUCCUGCAAUAACAUGAAAGUCAAAAUGUCAGACUUCUUAGCCGAUUGUGCUGAACACAUAAUUGUGCUUGGCAAGGUCCACCGACGAGUAAUGAACCGCUAUUUCAAGUUCUGCUUGUGGCUCGGUAUCCCAUACCAUCGAGUGCAGGCCACCAAGCCCAAUGAGCUCUGCCGUAUUGUGUCCGAAUUCGCUCUUGAAUACCGAACGACCAGAGAGCGAGUUAUGCAGCAGUUAGAGAAGAAAGCAAGCCACCGUGAGAGAAACAAAACUAGAGGCAAAAUGAUUACUGAGGUAGGAAAGUUUCGAAGUCAGGAUGACCGAGCAGAUGCAGAAUUGCGACAGUUGCUUGGCAAUGACUCUGCAGACAAUGAGACAUCACUAACUGGGUCACUGCCGUGGAGACGGCAACGGAAAGACAUUGGGCGGGUGUCACUUGGUAACGUCAGGAACGAUGGAACCAAUGGCAACCUCACUGAUGCUGAUGAUGAAAUACUUGAGUCACUUGUUAAAACAGCAACCAAAAUUCCCUCUACAAGAACAGCACCGAGAGAAAGAAAGAGGACAAGACACGCCGAUCGUAAGUCACUCGUCAAGCGGUCACGAACGCGCGACAACGUGCCAGGCGAGGGCACAGAGAGUCAGUCAUGACGCGGCACGCUACGGUAAACACCUCCCUAACCCGCCUUCUCGCAUUCACUCUAACUAAGCUAAUAGCGACGCUGUUUUCAGUUCGGCGGACUUUAAGGAAUGGCCUAUCAGAGGAAGAACGGAAGCACCUCGCCACUUUCAUCAAGGGCUACUGAAUAGUGAAGUUGUGUGUCAUAACAGAAUAUCUGUGAUAUAAUUGUGACUUUCCUGUGUCCGGUACCUAACCGUACACAAUGUGAUUUUAAACGCUUUCUUUACAUUGUUUUCUCCAGUUACUCAGCAAUGUGUGCAAAUAAUCAUAAUCUUUCAUACUCUUGUGUAGACUUAAGGCAGUUUUAUGUAAUAUUCUAAACACAUCUAUAGUUUUGUGUUAACAAUUUUCACUUCAUUGUGUAUUUCAUUUUUUACUGAAAUCAAGGUCUUUAUUGCUUUACAGAUUGAAGAGCUCUGAUUUACUUUACAUAUUAUAUUAUAACAAUUUUUUGUUACAGCUAUAAAAUAAAUUAUAUUUUGCAUAUUAGUGAAACAUACAUCAGACUCCCUAGUUGAUUAUUCAGAUUAUCCCAAGGUUAGCCAACUUAACCCUCCAAGUGGUAAUUAAAUCACUUUAAAGUGCUGGGCUGUUUUGAAGCAAAACUCAUGGUUUUAAAAGCCACUUUUCAGAUACAAAUAUACAUUCAAAGAUCAUGUGUUAUAUAUAUCAUUCUUUUCAGAAAAAAGAUGCUUUAGGAAAUAAAGAUAAUUCAAAACAAUUACUACCUUUCUCUAAAAAAAAGUCUUUAUGAAUAGUAAAAAUUUUUUCUUUUUGUUUUUUUAAAUGGUGAGGUUGUAAAUUCGUUUUAAAACAUGGUUAUAAAUAUUUCAAAAUAUACAAAUUGUUUCAAAUUUCAUUGUGAACAAUAAAAAUGUCACUUCAAAGCCUUUUGAACAAAAACCACACACACAAAAUAUAAAAACUAAAAAAUGUUCUGCACACCAGAAUUUGCACAAUGUUCACAUUCAAAAAGUAAUCACUUCUAAAAAAAUAUUGGUUUGGAUGUACACAUAACCUUCAAAAAAGCUAAAUGUCUGUUAUAAUAAUUAUGAAUAGUAAAAAAAAUCCUAUUAUGGUCCUUUUGUUCAUAUACAUAUUUACAUUUGACUAAAAUAACUUAGUCAGAUUCUGAUUGCUGCGCUAACCUCUUUCUUCUGCCUCCCCCUACCUUCUGAAGUGCUCUAAAGCACUGAAGCAACUCAUAAUAAAAUAGAAAAUACACACACAAGAAGCAAGAAUCUAUCGCACAGUGAAUAAUAAUACUAAUCAAAACAAUAUGUCGCGGCCGAACAAUAACUAACCUAGACGAAAACUACAACAAAGUACUGCGCGGCGAGCGCAGCAACAGCUGACAAAAUCAGCUGACUGUUAUUUUUGAUUCUACUUAAAGGCUUACAAAUUAGAGCCAGUGCGUAUCUCUCCUACUUGUACUAUAAAAAUCAAAUUAAAUAAACUGUUUUACGGCAAUUUAACAAAAAUGAACAUAUCGCACAGUGCGAUAGUAGCACUUGGAGGUUUAACAGACUGUAGGUUGUACGUUGGUGACUUACAAAGCUAAACACCUCGAGGGUGGUAUCUGUGUUUUUACAAUGCCUCUUAUUUGUCUGCUAACUCACUUUGUAUUAUGUCAGUCUUACAUUUAAAAAGUUAAUACUGUUACCUUAUUGUACAAUAUUUUUAAAGCUAUUACAAGAUUGAAUUUGUAAUUUGGUGUUUUAAUUUUCAAAGAGGACAUUAACUAAUAAUACAGUUUCACUGAUACAUUAAUAACAAAUGUGUCAAAAACAAUUUUGAUAUUUUUUUUAUUAUUUUGUGAUAAACGAAAAUUAACUUGUAAUUGAAUACUGUUGUUAAUAAUAUAGUAUUAAAGAAAUUAGUCUCUAAGUACUCGAGUCAAUGUGUUGUGAUUGAUAUUUUUAAGGUCUAUUUGCUUGUAAAUUGUUAUAUGGAAAAUUGCGAGUGUAAAGAUUUUUUAGAGUUAAUUUGAUUCACUUCUCAGGAGUAUUUCUUCCAGUGAGUGUUAUGAGAUUUAAUCAAAUAUAUAUAUUUCUGUAGAGUUCAUAUAGAGGGAGGCACAUGAGUGAUUAUUUGGAACUAGUCGUUUAUUUUGAUAGGUUUCUGUAAGAAUUAUUGAGGUAAAAGUUUGAUUUUACUAUCAUCAUUGAAACUUGCUUAUCUAAGAUUGCCUUAUUUUGAGGUAAAAUUGUUUACACUUUAGAGAUAAACUCACCUUUUUCUUAAAUCAUAUCAACCUACACAUCAUACUCUGUCUAUAUUCUAAUGAGUUACAUUAUAUAUAUGCACAGUAUGUUUUUAUAAUUUGUUACAUAAUAUUGACUGUAGUGUUAGGUUACCAUAAUUUUCAUGUAAUUUUUAAUUAUAAAAUAAAUUUAAUUAAUACAUUUGUAAUGUUCAAUAGUAAACAACAAUUUAGCUACAUAGACUACUGUUGCAUUUAAAUAGAUAAGCAAAUAAUGUUGUAAUUUGACAUAUUUACAUAGUUAUGCUCCUUAUUUGUACGGUUUAAUUGUUUAAUGUUUUUACGUUUUAUGAUUGUCUCACCAUUUUGUGAUUAUUCAUUGAUAUUUUGGAUUUCUUAAAUAUACUUAACUGCGGGAAAAUAUGAAAAAAAAUGUUGAUUCAAAGUUCCUGAUGAAGUAAACCUCACCAAAUGUCUUCAUGUAUUUUAAUAAUGUAGAUUAUGAAAUGAUUUGUGAAUUGUGUUGUGUAAUUGUAAGCUCCAAUGAUUCCAUAAGAAAAAUAAAAUAUUUUACAAAACAA